rnacentral:tRNA from 1 species
AGCCGGGCGGCCAGUCGGCGGUGCCGGUGCCCGCCUCCGGCGCGCCCGAGCGGGUGUCCCGGCGAAGCCGGACGGGUUCCGGCCCGUCCCGGCUC